rnacentral:rRNA from 1 species
GAUGAACGCUGGCGGCGUGCUUAACACAUGCAAGUCGAACGAGAAAUGAUAUUACGAUCUCUUCGGAGUGACGAUUUUAUUUCGAGUGGCGGACGGGUGAGUAACGCGUGAGCAACCUGCCCUAUACCGGGGGAUACCAGUUGGAAACGACUGUUAAUACCGCAUAAGCGCACGAUAAGACAUCUUGUUGUGUGAAAAACUCCGGUGGUAUAGGAUGGGCUCGCGUAUGAUUAGCCAGUUGGCGGGGUAAAGGCCCACCAAAGCGACGAUCAUUAGCCGACCUGAGAGGGCGACCGGCCACAUUGGGACUGAGACACGGCCCAAACUCCUACGGGAGGCAGCAGUGGGGAAUAUUGCACAAUGGGCGAAAGCCUGAUGCAGCGACGCCGCGUGAGUGAGGAAGUAUUUCGGUAUGUAAAGCUCUAUCAGCAGGGAAGAAAGAAAUGACGUACCUG